CACCGGCUCUAUCUUAUAUUUACAGUACUCAGCAUACACAAUAAUACUACAGUCACCAAGGCAAGUCUUAGCUCCAAGUGUUUCUUCAUCAAAAUGGCCAAGACCACAGAGACACAAGACAACCAACCUCCACCAGGAUACCCAACUGCAACCAAUGAUCCUCCAACUAGGAAGAAGUUUCGGCCCCAGACUAAAAAGAAAGGAGACAGGGGCUUCAUUGAGGGCUGCUUAUUUGCCUUGUGCUGCUGUUGGCUCUGCGAGGAAUGUUUCUGAACUAUUUUUCACCACCGCCAUCAUGUUGGUUUUUUCACACGGCUGAACUACCAUAAUAGCUCUUAUUGUCUCGGAGCUUUAUAGUAUUUAUCUCGGAGUGAUCGCCUCUCUAGUCGUUAUACUACUGUAUUAGAACUACCAUAAUACAUGUUGCAAUAAAAAUUCAUCACCUUUUUAUUUUCUAUACACUGCAUUUCACACCAAAAGGGCCUCUGCCCUGCUCCAUGCUCCCAUUAAGCUCAACCCUUUAUAAGUGCUUCACGAUCCGCAAACACCUAGUUUUAAAAAGUCCAUGUCGUGAAUGAAGACAUGCACAGUUGCACACCGUCUUCUGGGUUAAAAGACCUCUGGUAUCUUUCUCCCCUCCUUUU